CAGAUUGACGCUGGCGGCAGGCCUAACACAUGCAAGUCGAACGGUAACAGAAAGCAGCUUGCUGCUUUGCUGACGAGUGGCGGACGGGUGAGUAAUGUCUGGGAAACUGCCUGAUGGAGGGGGAUAACUACUGGAAACGGUAGCUAAUACCGCAUAACGUCGCAAGACCAAAGAGGGGGACCUUCGGGCCUCUUGCCAUCGGAUGUGCCCAGAUGGGAUUAGCUAGUAGGUGGGGUAAAGGCUCACCUAGGCGACGAUCCCUAGCUGGUCUGAGAGGAUGACCAGCCACACUGGAACUGAGACACGGUCCAGACUCCUACGGGAGGCAGCAGUGGGGAAUAUUGCACAAUGGGCGCAAGCCUGAUGCAGCCAUGCCGCGUGUAUGAAGAAGGCCUUCGGGUUGUAAAGUACUUUCAGCGGGGAGGAAGGGAGUAAAGUUAAUACCUUUGCUCAUUGACGUUACCCGCAGAAGAAGCACCGGCUAACUCCGUGCCAGCAGCCGCGGUAAUACGGAGGGUGCAAGCGUUAAUCGGAAUUACUGGGCGUAAAGCGCACGCAGGCCGGUUUGUUAAGUCAGAUGUGAAAUCCCCGGGCUCAACCUGGGAACUGCAUCUGAUACUGGCAAGCUUGAGUCUCGUAGAGGGGGGUAGAAUUCCAGGUGUAGCGGUGAAAUGCGUAGAGAUCUGGAGGAAUACCGGUGGCGAAGGCGGCCCCCUGGACGAAGACUGACGCUCAGGUGCGAAAGCGUGGGGGAGCAAACAGGAUUAGAUACCCUGGUAGUCCACGCCGUAAACGAUGUCGACUUGGAGGUUGUGCCCUUGAGGCGUGGCUUCCGGAGCUAACGCGUUAAGUCGACCGCCUGGGGAGUACGGCCGCAAGGUUAAAACUCAAAUGAAUUGACGGGGGCCCGCACAAGCGGUGGAGCAUGUGGUUUAAUUCGAUGCAACGCGAAGAACCUUACCUGGUCUUGACAUCCACGGAAGUUUUCAGAGAUGAGAAUGUGCCUUCGGGAACCGUGAGACAGGUGCUGCAUGGCUGUCGUCAGCUCGUGUUGUGAAAUGUUGGGUUAAGUCCCGCAACGAGCGCAACCCUUAUCCUUUGUUGCCAGCGGUCCGGCCGGGAACUCAAAGGAGACUGCCAGUGAUAAACUGGAGGAAGGUGGGGAUGACGUCAAGUCAUCAUGGCCCUUACGACCAGGGCUACACACGUGCUACAAUGGCGCAUACAAAGAGAAGCGACCUCGCGAGAGCAAGCGGACCUCAUAAAGUGCGUCGUAGUCCGGAUUGGAGUCUGCAACUCGACUCCAUGAAGUCGGAAUCGCUAGUAAUCGUGGAUCAGAAUGCCACGGUGAAUACGUUCCCGGGCCUUGUACACACCGCCCGUCACACCAUGGGAGUGGGUUGCAAAAGAAGUAGGUAGCUUAACCUUCGGGAGGGCGCUUACCACUUUGUGAUCAUGACUGGG
rnacentral:rRNA from 1 species